rnacentral:rRNA from 1 species
UACGAAGGGGGCUAGCGUUGCUCGGAAUGACUGGGCGUAAAGGGUGCGUAGGCGGGUCUUUAAGUCAGGGGUGAAAUCCUGGAGCUCAACUCCAGAACUGCCUUUGAUACUGAAGAUCUUGAGUUCGGGAGAGGUGAGUGGAACUGCGAGUGUAGAGGUGAAAUUCGUAGAUAUUCGCAAGAACACCAGUGGCGAAGGCGGCUCACUGGCCCGAUACUGACGCUGAGGCACGAAAGCGUGGGGAGCAAACAGG